rnacentral:misc_RNA from 1 species
CACAGCCCUCUUCAUAGACAUAGAGAAAGCAUUCGAUAAAAUUAACCAUGAAAGUCUACUACAAACAAUUAGGAAACAAUUCCCGGAGCAAAUACACCACUUAAUAAAAUCCUACCUAAGCUGCAGAACCUUCGUAAUAAAAAUCAAGGACACACAUUCUCAAGUUAAAGACAUCAAGGCCGGGGUACCACAAGGAAGCGUCCUAGGCCCAAUACUAUACACAUUAUACACAGCGAACAUACCAACAACUACCAACAGCACAGUAUUGACAUUCGCGGACGACACAGCUAUACUAGUCAGUAUUUUGCUAUUGGUAGUUGUUGGUAUGUUGGCCGUGUAGAAUGCGUAUAGUAUUGGUCCUAAGACGCUUCCUUGCGGAACUCCUGCCUUGAUGUCUUUAACUUCAGAGUAUGUGUCCUUGAUUUUUAUUACGAAG